rnacentral:rRNA from 1 species
GAUGAACGCUAGCUACAGGCUUAACACAUGCAAGUCGAGGGGAAACGGCAUCGAAAGCUUGCUUUUGAUGGGCGUCGACCGGCGCACGGGUGAGUAACGCGUAUCCAACCUGCCCAUCACUUGGGAAUAACCUUGCGAAAGUAAGACUAAUGCCCAAUGACAUCCCACGAAGGCAUCCGAAUGGGAUUAAAGAUUUAUCGGUGAUGGAUGGGGAUGCGUCUGAUUAGCUUGUUGGCGGGGUGACGGCCCACCAAGGCAACGAUCAGUAGGGGUUCUGAGAGGAAGGUCCCCCACAUUGGAACUGAGACACGGUCCAAACUCCUACGGGAGGCAGCAGUGAGGAAUAUUGAUCAAUGGGCGAGAGCCUGAACCAGCCAAGUAGCGUGCAGGGUGACGGCCCUAUGGGUUGUAAACUGCUUUUAUAAGGGAAUAAAGUGGGUCACGUGUGACUUUUUGCAUGUACCUUAUGAAUAAGGACCGGCUAAUUCCGUG